rnacentral:lncRNA from 1 species
UAAACUUUUUUUGUUGGGGGGAGGGUCUUAAUUUUUUUACAUUAAUAGCCCUAACAAAUUUAUAUUUGCAUAAAUGGCUCUCUCCUUACCAUGCACGCACCUAUAGAUAGCAUCUUUAAGUUAAAGUUUCUUUUUAUAUUUUUCACUGUCCAGAAGUAAAAAAAAAAAGGGGACUAAAGUGUGAAUAUGAAUACGAUGAUUGAAUUAUUGUAUUCAACAUAAAAUUGCCAACGUGAUACUCGCGUGGCAAAACGAGGAUCAUAUAUAUAUAUAUAUAUAU